rnacentral:rRNA from 1 species
UUACAACGCCGCGUGAGUGAUGACGGUCUCUGAUCGUAAAACUCUGUUGUUAGGGAAGACAAGUGUCAUAGUAACUGAUGGCACCUUGACGGUACCUAACCAGCAAAGCCACGGCUAACUACGUGCCAGCAGCCGCGGUAAUACGUAGGUGGCAAGCGUUGUCCGGAAUUAUUGGGCGUAAAGCGCUCGCAGGCGGUUCUUUAAGUCUGAUGUGACAUCUUACGGCUUAACCGUAAACGUGCCUUGGAAACUGGGGAACUUGAGUGCAGACGAGGAGAGUGGAAUUCCACGUGUAGCGGUGAAAUGCGUAGAGAUGUGGAGGAACACCUAGUUGGCGAAGGCGACUCUCUGGUCUGUAACUGAAGCUGAGGAGCGACAGCGUGGGGACGCGAACAGGAU